rnacentral:rRNA from 1 species
UACAGGGGGGGCAAGCGUUGUUCGGAAUUACUGGGCGUAAAGGGCGCGUAGGCGGCCACCGCAAGUCGACUGUGAAAUCUCCGGGCUUAACCCGGAAAGGUCAGCCGAUACUGCGGGGCUAGAGUGCAGAAGGGGCAACUGGAAUUCUCGGUGUAGCGGUGAAAUGCGUAGAUAUCGAGAGGAACACCUGCGGCGAAGGCGGGUUGCUGGGCUGACACUGACGCUGAUGUGCGAAAGCUAGGGGAGCGAACGGG